rnacentral:rRNA from 1 species
CGGACGGGUGAGUAAUGUCUGGGAAACUGCCUGAUGGAGGGGGAUAACUACUGGAAAUGGUAGCUAAUACCGCAUAACGUCUCCGGACCAAAGUGGGGACCUUCGGGCCUCACACCAUCGGAUGUGCCCAGAUGGGAUUAGCUUGUAGGUGGGGUAAUGGCUCACCUAGGCGACGAUCCCUAGCUGGUCUGAGAGGAUGACCAGCCACACUGGAACUGAGACACGGUCCAG